rnacentral:ncRNA from 2 species
UACGUGCUCCGGGGUCGGUGUAAGUCCGAGCCGGCGGUGACAGUCCGCGACCCGAGCCUGGCGGCGACGCCAGGUCCGGUUGACCUGGUGAAACUCCAGGACCGACGGUGAAAGCCCGGAUGGGAGGAGGCACGUG